GAAGAGGAGCUACGCCGCUCCAAACAAGAGACCCAGCGGCUCCAGCGGCUCCUGGACUCGGCUCUGAGGGCCCUAAGCCCGAGAGUCGUCCUUGUCAGAACCGCUGCCCAGCUCCCCUCUCUGAGUCCUGGUCUGACUCCACAGAACCAAGAAGAACCCAACAUCAAACAGGGGGAAGAACAGCUGCAAGUGUCUGUCCCAGAAUUUAGCACUGUGAGUGUGAAGACAGAAGAGUCCCCACUGCUUCUACAAAGACAAACUGAGCAGAGAGAAGACACACAGGGAGAGGACAUCAGAACAGAGAUACAUGUCCACAGAGAGGACACACAGGGAGAGGACAUCAGAACAGAGAUACACGUCCACAGAGAGGA